rnacentral:tRNA from 1 species
CCUUCGGCAGGGUGGCGGGGUCGAGCCCCGCGGCUUCGAGCGCCGUGUCGAUCCGGGCCCGGGCGGUGGCCCGGCGUUCGGCGCGCGGGCGGAGCA